CGCCAGCGGAGACCGUGUUGGCGAGCUGCGCUGAAGAAAAGGUCACUGUGGCGGUCAAAAAAAACUUUCUAGGUAAUGGUCAGCUGAUCCAACCCAAUGAUCUGAGCUGAGGAGGCUGCGUGGCGGUUGACGCUGUGAUUUCUAGUAUACUUUCCGACGCCGGUUGGUAACGUGUCCAUUUUGAGGACCAACCCGGUGGAUGUGCCAACCCAGUGCCACUUUCAGAGUGAGCAGCAUGAGGCCUCUGUGGACGACGUUCGCCUUUGAAAAGCAAACGGAACAGCAGCUCCACUUUGCGUUGCGCCUCAUGACAGGUGGGUGCAGGUUUAAAAAAAAUAAUAAUAAAAUACUGAUUUAUAUCCAGAAACUUUAAAGAUUAAGACUUUACUGCCAACUCUUGAAAAUGCUAAAUAGGACGAGGUGAGAUUGCAUGUCUUGUAGGCGGGAGCUGACCCAACAGGGUCACCCUCACGGCGAGGCGAUCAAUAUCUUCCUGAUUAUGGUUCCUAAUUAAUUCCAAAUGGACAGCAGAUAAUAUCAGAGCUGAACUGUUCUUCUUAAAAGUUGGUCUUCCAGAGCUCUGCUUACUUUAGAGAAGUUAAGCCAGUUUUUUUAAACUGCAUUUCACAGAAACAGACCCUCAUUUAUGUUUCUUAUCCAGGUUCAAUUUCUUUCGUUUUAUUGAUGUUACCGUAUCUACAUCAGCCCAGACCAAUCAUCUUCCCCUGGGCAUCAUUUUAGCUUCAUCUAAUUGGAUUGAUGGUCCCGACUUUGCUUUUCCACUUACUCUGCAUGUUUGUCGUGUGGAUUUGAUUAGAGGACUGGCGGUCUCUCAGGGCGUCCAACGUCUACUCCGUGAGAGAGACGAUGCAAGUGGAGGCGUCGGUGAUGCAGGGCUUUGUCCCUAUGAGGGUCUUUGUGGACAAGUCCAAGUUGUCCAAGUUCUCACCCCAGUUACUCCUUCAUCAUCGUCAACCACGGGUGAAGAGCCGUGGAUUAACUGUGUUUUUUGUUUGUUUGUUGUUUUUUUCAAUCUGCAGAUAAAUUAAGGUUUA